CCUUCGGGAGCUUGCACAGGUGCUGCAUGGCUGUCGUCAGCUCGUGUCGUGAGAUGUUCGGUUAAGUCCGCUAACGAGCGCAACCCUCGCUGUGUGUUAUAUGUGUCACACGGGACGUGCCGGUCUUAAGCCGGAGGAAGGUGGGGAUGAUGUCAAGUCAGCAUGGCCUUUAUAUCCUGGGCUACACACACGCUACAAUGGCCAACACAAUAGGUUGCUAAGCCGCGAGGUGGCGCCAAUCCAUAAAGUUGGUCUCAGUUCAGAUUGUAGGCUGCAACCCGCCUGCAUGAGGAUGGAGUUGCUAGUAACCGCAGGUCAGCUAUACUGCGGUGAAUACGUUCCCGGGGCUU
rnacentral:rRNA from 1 species